rnacentral:rRNA from 1 species
UACGAAGGGGGCUAGCGUUGUUCGGAUUUACUGGGCGUAAAGCGCACGUAGGCGGAUUUUUAAGUCAGGGAUGAAAUCCCGGGGCUCAACCCCGGAACUGCCUUUGAUACUGGAAGUCUUGAGUAUGGUAGAGGUGAGUGGAAUUCCGAGUGUAGAGGUGAAAUUCGUAGAUAUUCGCAAGAACACCAGUGGCGAAGGCGGCUCACUGGCCCGGUACUGACGCUGAGGUGCGAAAGCGUGGGGAGCAAACAGG